CUUAGGAAAUGCCACCAAGGGAAGUGGCCAGCAUGCUCUGCAGAGGUUACUGAGGGGAUACACAUGUGUGACAGCCUGGGACUGCAAAACGACUGCAUGAAAGGACCCUGGCCUCCAUCAAAUACCGUUCAUUUAGGACUGGACUUGGGGCUAAGGAUGCUGGGUGAGCUGACAGAAGACCUGCCCUCCUGGGAUCUCUAAGCUUCACGUUGUGUCAUCUGUUACCGUUCAUGUGCCAGACUCUGGAGCCAAACCCCCACACUCUCCCAAAAGACAGAACUAAACAGAUGCUUUGGACCACUUCUGGAGUUUCCGGUGGGUUAGAACCCUGAGGAUGCAGAGCGUGGAUAUGUAGUCACAGUUACUUGUAAACAGAAGGGCUUGUCCUCUGGGACAACAGAAGGGGACAUUUGUAAGCCAUAAGGUAACUGUCCUAGUGUGUUAACCGUGGGUUGGUUUUCUUCUGUGAAUACCUGUUCAUUAAACACUAUAUAGUCCCAG